ACGCUGGCGGCGUGCCUAAUACAUGCAAGUCGAACGCUUCUUCUUUCACCGGAGCUUGCUCCACCGAAAGAAGAAGAGUGGCGAACGGGUGAGUAACACGUGGAUAACCUGCCUCAAGGCUGGGGAUAACAUUUGGAAACAGAUGCUAAUACCGAAUAAAACUUAGUAUCGCAUGAUACAAAGUUAAAAGGCGCUACGGCGUCACCUAGAGAUGGAUCCGCGGUGCAUUAGUUAGUUGGUGGGGUAAAGGCUUACCAAGACAAUGAUGCAUAGCCGAGUUGAGAGACUGAUCGGCCACAUUGGGACUGAGACACGGCCCAAACUCCUACGGGAGGCUGCAGUAGGGAAUCUUCCACAAUGGGCGAAAGCCUGAUGGAGCAACGCCGCGUGUGUGAUGAAGGCUUUCGGGUCGUAAAGCACUGUUGUAUGGGAAGAACAGCUAGAAUAGGAAAUGAUUUUAGUUUGACGGUACCAUACCAGAAAGGGACGGCUAAAUACGUGCCAGCCGCCGCAGUAACAC
rnacentral:rRNA from 1 species